rnacentral:ribozyme from 1 species
GCUGCUCGGAAAAUGCACACCGCUACGAGGUGAGUAGCAGGCAACACGGCGGAGACUGUGGCAAAGAUACAGAA